rnacentral:rRNA from 1 species
UACGAAGGGUGCAAGCGUUACUCGGAAUUACUGGGCGUAAAGCGUGCGUAGGUGGUUUGUUAAGUCUGUUGUGAAAGCCCCGGGCUCAACCUGGGAAUGGCAAUGGAUACUGGCAAGCUAGAGUGCGGUAGAGGGUAGUGGAAUUCCCGGUGUAGCGGUGAAAUGCGUAGAGAUCGGGAGGAACACCAGUGGCGAAGGCGGCUACCUGGACCAGCACUGACACUGAGGCACGAAAGCGUGGGGGAGCA